rnacentral:rRNA from 1 species
CCUACGGGAGGCUGCAGUGGGGAAUAUUGGGCAAUGGGCGCAAGCCUGACCCAGCAACGCCGCGUGAAGGAAGAAGGCUUUCGGGUUGUAAACUUCUUUUAUCAGGGACGAAGCAAGUGACGGUACCUGAUGAAUAAGCCACGGCUAACUACGUGCCAGCAGCCGCGGUAAUACGUAGGGGGCAAGCGUUAUCCGGAUUUACUGGGUGUAAAGGGCGAGUAGGCGGGAGUGAAAGUCAGAUGUGAAAACUAUGGGCUCAACCCAUAGCCUGCAUUUGAAACUGUACUUCUUGAGUGCUGGAGAGGCAAAGGGAAUGCCGGGUGUAGCGGUGAAAUGCGUAGAUAUACGGAGGAACACCAGUGGCGUAGGCGGAUUGCUGGACAGUAACUGACGCUGAGGAGCGAAAGCGAGGGUAGCAAACAGGAUUAGAUACCCCUGUAGUC